AACGCGAAGAACCUUACCAAGUCUUGACAUCCCAUUGACGAAACCUUAACCGGUUUUUCUCUUCGGAGCAAUGGAGACAGGUGGUGCAUGGUUGUCGUCAGCUCGUGUCGUGAGAUGUUGGGUUAAGUCCCGCAACGAGCGCAACCCUUGUCCUUAGUAGCCAGCAGUCAGAUGGGCACUCUAGAGAGACUGCCAGGGAUAACCUGGAGGAAGGUGGGGAUGACGUCAAAUCAUCAUGCCCCUUAUGAUUUGGGCUACACACGUGCUACAAUGGCGUAAACAAAGGGAAGCGAGCCUGUGAAGGGGAGCAAAUCUCAAAAAUAACGUCUCAGUUCGGAUUGUAGUCUGCAACUCGACUACAUGAAGCUGGAAUCGCUAGUAAUCGCGAAUCAGAAUGUCGCGGUGAAUACGUUCCCGGGUCUUGUACACACCG
rnacentral:rRNA from 1 species